rnacentral:misc_RNA from 1 species
AGGAAUCGGAUGCGGGAAAACCGCACGUCCGUGUCUGUGCGGAGGACGUCCGGUAACGGGCGUUCCUACUGCGAG